GAAUCCUUGAUGAGAAGGUUUGCUCACCAAUUUUCUAGUCCCAAUGUGUGAAGAACACAUUCUAGAGUGUAUUUCUUGUGACAAGUUUUUUCCCUCUUCUGUGGAUAUGCACUUUAACAACGGUGUGCAUACUCCACUCUAUAUAAACAUUCCUCCUGCAUCAAAUAACUUCUUGCCCUCAAGGCCAUUCUUUUGUUGUCCGCGUCACUCCUGGCUCAUAGUACUCUCUCAAAAAUGUGAUUAUGGGCACUCGCCAAUCUUCGCUCAUGACAGCAUUCACAAACUUCACUGGGCUUCAUCACAAUUUAUUGAUUUGUACUUCAUGACUUCGUAGAACAC
rnacentral:lncRNA from 1 species